rnacentral:rRNA from 1 species
UACGUAGGGACCAAGCGUUGUUCGGAUUUACUGGGCGUAAAGGGCGCGUAGGCGGCAAUUCAAGUCAUCUGUGAAAUCUCCGGGCUUAACUCGGAACGGUCAGAUGAUACUGCUUUGCUAGAGUGCGGAAGGGGCAAUCGGAAUUCUUGUGUAGCGGUGAAAUGCGUAGAUAUCAAGAGGAACACCUGAGGUGAAGACGGGUUGCUGGGCCGACACUGACGCUGAUAGCGCGAAGCCAGGGAGCAAACGGG